rnacentral:tRNA from 1 species
AAGAAAUUAGUUUAAAAUAAAACAUUAAUUUGUCAAAUUAAAGAUAUUUAUGAUAUUUCUUA